AAACUGAAUUGAAAGGGAGAGUGAAAGUCUCAGGCAGCGCCAGCAGUUCAUCAUGUAUCCUUCACAGAGACGUUUUCUUUUACACUUUAAAUGAUGAUACUCAUCAAUCAGCCGGUGAUGGCUGCAUCAAGCCAGCUGCAAACAUGCAAAGGCCAGCAGUGUGAAAGUUGCUGAUGCCACCGAUCCAAUGGUCGCUGGAUACAGGAGAUAUCAGUCAGCCAGGGCCUAGGCUACACUACACACUGAUCUGAUCUGCUCUGCUUUUAUACACAGGCCCAGGCUACACUACACACUGAUCUGAUCUGCUUUUAUACACAGGCCCAGGCUACACUACACACUGAUCUGAUCUGCUUUUAUACACAGGCCCAGGCUACACUACACACUGAUCUGAUCUGCUCUCAUACACAGAGCCUAGGCUACACUACACACUGAUCUUAUCUCAUACAC
rnacentral:lncRNA from 1 species